ACAAACUGUUUUUUUUAUUUAUGUUUAAAGCUGCCCAGAGAGGAUGUGGUUUUUAUGCGCAGAGGCAACUCAUUAGAUCAGAGUGUGCUGCCCAUCAAAAGAAAGUCAUCUCUCUCAAAGUUCACAAUAAGUGGUGAAAACAAUCAGCACAAAAGAACAUUCAAAUAUUAUCAUUCUAGUUGUAGUCUAGCGUCAAAAUGAUUAUGAAGUUAGUGAUGAGAGGUGACAGAGGUUAAAUGUGCAUUGAACUGUGCAAAUCCAGGAACUCCCUACUGUGCGUCCCUCAGCACUUUGUGAAAUGUUCAUGUAUUCAAGACAUUUCUCCUUCUGCCUACUGUCAGUCCAAACGUUCAGGGUGUGUGGCAUUGUCAUUUCCGGCUCCAGCUCAUCGGCGGGCGGUCCAAGGCUGUACAGUCAUCAGUGGUGAACACCAGCUCCUAAACAUAGAGAUAUGAGGCGUAGUCUGAAUGACAGGGAGCCUGGAUCAAGAGCUAGUCUGUCUGUGAAUGCUAGUCGUCGCUCUCUUACCCCGUGACACCUCUGGG